UCCUGAGUGGCUCAGUCAGUUGAGCCUCUGACUUUGGCUCAGGUCAUGAUCUACAGUUCGUGGGUUCGAGCCCCGCAUCAGGUU
rnacentral:tRNA from 1 species